UGUCAUGGCGGCUGUGCGUCGGAGACCUUAAGGUCUGCUGGGUUUUGCCUUCUGUCCCGGUUCGCCAGCCCUCGCACAGCUGCCACCAUU
rnacentral:antisense_RNA from 1 species